AAACAACUUCAUAUAUUUUGAUUCUUUGACAGUUUUGGCCCUCCAAGGCAAAAAAAAAAAAAAAAUUGACACGUGGCACCUCACUUAGGGUGCCACGUCAGCGUUGACCGAGUCAACAAUGGACUGGGGGUUCAAAACUGCCAAAGAAUCAAAACACAAAGGGCUGUUU
rnacentral:pre_miRNA from 1 species